UUUGAAGUAUGGAGGUCUGUAAGAAGACUAGUAAUGAUUUUCUUAAUCUUGUUUUGGUUACUUUUCGUUUAUAGGGUAUUAUGGAUGAAUCAAUGAUUCUCACAAUGCUGGGCAGAUGUCUGUAGAUAGUAGAGUAGGUUGUGACGGCUAACUAGCAGUGAUUCUUUAGCAAUUACAUGGAAAUACAGACGUAAGAUGUGGUGUUUACAUGUCUUAAAUUGGGAUUGCUUUGGGUCAGAUGGAUUCAACAACAAUGCAGACCAUGAUGAUGACGGGACUGUUCUGCAUUGUUAGAUUAACAAUCAGACGGUCUUGAUGAGUUGACUUAAGAAUGCCCAUGGAAGGUAGAUUUGAAACUUCAAUUCCAAGCAACCUUCAAAGGACAUUAGCAACUACAUGGUGCAACGACAGAUGUGUCCGGAUAUCUUUGAAUGAUGCAGGAACAGAUGUACCAUGGUGCAACAACAUGGAUUGUCUCAAGCGACUUGGUGGUCGUAUUACUGGGACGUCUUUGAAUGCUGUAGGGAAUAUAAUGAUUUCAUUUUGCUCUUUUUGUUUGGCUCUUGAUAAUUAUGCAAUCUCGUAUUUGUCCUUUGGAUCUGAACUGGUUCUAUAUUUGUGUGAUUAAAUUUUCCGACCAAAUAUGCGAUCGAUCUUUCAUGGGCUCCGACGGAAUAUUUAGCGCCAUGGAUUCUUUCAUUGUUAUGCCAAUGUGUUUCUGUGCUUUUUCAUAUUUUCAAUUCAUCUUAAAAACCAACUUGUGAGUCUAUACAUUCUAAGUAAACAAUUACACGUUGAUCAGGAAGUAACUCCAUAACAACAAGAAAUCAAAGAAACAUCUUCUAUAUAAACUAAAACAGAAAUUACAAUCUCUCACCGUCGAAAUCAGACAGUCGUAGUCACCUAUACGUCUCCGAUCUACUGAUCAUUGAACACAAUUGCCCAUCCACAAACAGUCGUUCCAAAAACUCAUCCCAUCCAACGGCAAAGGCACUUGAGUUCCGUCAAUUUGAGGCAGCUUCCCUAGUGACCAUGCAGAUCCACAGUCUAAUGGUGGUAACAAAUCGUCGAGAUCAAAAAACAUAUCUUCACCGUUCUCAAAAAGAAGGUCUUCAUCCUUCAAAAGCGACUCACCACCUUCGCUGGCAAAGCUUACUGGCACAUAAUCAUGAUCAGAAAAACUUGCAGGCAUGGUACUACCGUCAAUGUUGCUUAUGCACUGCUGGUCAUGAUUAAUAGCGUCACUAAUCAUCUUGUAAUUGCUUUCAUCGAAGGGCACGACAGGAGCACUGCUAGUACUAGGGCAGUUUUGUAGUUCCUCUACGGUAUGGGUGAUCACACUAGUAGUAUUUUGUGAUCCCACUUCGUUUCUUGCCUUCUUUUUCGCCGGUUUCUGCUUGACUUCUUUUCUUGCCUUCUUUUUUGCCGGCUUCUCCUUGACUUCUUUUCUUGCUCUCUUUUUUGCCGGCUGCUCGUUCACUUGUUGGGUUGAGUUCGAACAAUUCUUCUUGUUUCCGCUCCUAGAAUUCUUUUUAAGUCGGCAGAGAACUACCUUCCCAAUUUCGUGAUCGGAGUCAUCAGCGCCAGCAACUACACUAGGAAGAAUGCUGUACUCUUCCAAGAGCCAGUCACCGUCAUGCUCACACCCUUCCUUCUCAUACCGCAAAUUCCUCUUUUUCCCCAUAGCUUUUUCAUUCUGCAAAUCCUUAACCAGCUUUGAAUUGGAUUCGCUCCAGGUACCACCGGCGUCAAUUUCACGUUUGAUGCGCGCCUGGCUUCUAGUCUUGAGUUGGCAGAAGAAGUACAAAUCUUGAUCUUCAAGUCCCGGUCCGCCGAAAUUCUCCCAAACCACCCACGGUGGAGUCUUGCCGAAGAGGUCGAACUCGUAGAUAAGAUUAAAAUUGUUGCAGUCCGCCAUUAAGGGCUCUCUGUGGAGGACUCUGUUGUAGAGGAAGAAACUGAUCAAUUCCUGAUCGGUCGGAUGAAACCGAAAACCCAGCGGCAUACCAUUAGAACCCAGCAGCGGAUUUUCAUAAAAACCCAGCGGCACAACACCACCAUAACGCUCCGCCUCCAUUGUUAAGACGUCGUUGGGUUUCUCUGUGUUAAUUAUGUGAAUUAACGUGGAAGAAAUUAGGGUUUGAUGAGGACAAGGACCUUCUCUGUUGUUUUCACUCUUUCUAUUUUGGUGCGAAAUCGUAUGAGUUCUUUCCUUACCGGGGUAGGUGAUUAUAUACUUUUUCUUCCCAUGUCUCUGCCGUUGGAUCUAAUCUCAUCCGAUGGCUGGGCGCGUUUCGCAUAAGUAGCCGUUGGGUUGUGCAAAAUAGUCACGUGGUUAGGGAUUCAAGGGAAUUUGAAAUAUCCUACAGUGCAUAGGAAAAGUAUAUCUAUACUUUCUCCCGCGUUGUUGUUCGCGGGAGCCACCGCCAUCCCGCCACCGGAAGUCGGAAACCGGGUUGGAUAAAAUCGGGCUGGAGAUUAGACACCCUCAUUGAUUUGUACUAUAAACUAUCUCUCCCUUGUAAGAUGUGAGUGUCAAGGAGAAUGAGUUCUUGUUCUUGACAAACUGAUAGCUCAGUGUAUGAGUUAUCAUGUUGAGGAAAUUCUGAUCCUACUUGGCUAAGAUUAAGAGUCCUAAUAACAUGUAAUUAUAUUCAUGUAACCCUAUCAAGACUUGACAAGAGUUUAAAACUUACUAGGACUAUAUCGAAACCCUAAUCUAUUUGGAAUAUCCGAGGUAUCAGUUAAUAGGCAUGAUAUCAAGGGAGUAUGGAUAUAUAUAGGGAGGUCCCUGCACUCACAGCGCCGUCCCUUUUUGAGCGAACCUUAUUCUAGCUGGAUUAUUGGCUGCUGAGUGUAGAAGACCUUCUGUUAUUCAUUGCAGCAAUGUCGAGCUCUUCUUCUUCAGGUAAGUCUAUUAUGUUUACGUAUGCAUGUCAUUGUAUGUAUGUGAUUCUAUGCAUGCAGUGUUUUAACGUCCAACAUGUGGUAUCAGAGCACACAAUGUCGUGUUUAGAAUCCUUACAAACACAAGAAUAUGUUGAUUAAAAUGCAUGAUCCUAACAUAAGGCUUUCGUGCAAUGAAAUUGAAAUAGUUAUUGACUAUUACCGACAGACAUCAUGUUUAGAAUAAUAUCACUUAUACACGCACACAUGUUUAUAUAUAUAUAUACAUGUACCUAUUUUGCAAGUUUUAUUUUCAGGAGAACAAGGACGAGUCUUCGGAUCUCGGAAGACCAAAACGUAAUGAGUUACUGUCACUAUAUGACCUGGCAGACAAAUCUUUUGUGAAUCAUGAUCAAUUUCAACUCAAAAGUGUUUGAAUCAUGCUUCAGUUCAUCUAUUCAAGUUGAACAGAACGAUUAAAUUGAUGGUGAAUAUAUUUUGAGAUAAUUCUAAAGAAUUCUUAUAUUCAGUCAUGCUUAAUUAGUGAUAAGUGAGAUGAAAAAUUAUCUAAAGAUGUGACUGGUAUCAUAUGAUUUUUUAUGCCGUUAAUUGUUCAUACCCUGAACUUUUAAUGAAGAGCUUAUGAGAACAAGUACUGAAUUAUAUGUUGUUGAUACAACUAUGACUUCUCUUAACUUCUCCAAUAUCGAAACACUAACUGAUUCCAACUAUAAGAAAUGUAAUGAAGACAUGGAGAUAUCUCUUGGCAUGAUGGAUUUCGAUUUGGCUUUAAGGGAAGACAAACCUGCAGCGAUAACAACUACAAGCACAGUAGAAGAAAAACUGAAGUUUGCUCAAUGGGAGAAGGUAAAUAGAAUGGCUCUUAUGAUUAUGAGGAGGGCCAUGACUAGCAGUGUGAAAGGUGGCAUUCCAAAGAGUGACAGUGCAAAAGAAUUUUUGAUGCAGUGGGAAACAAAUUUAAGGAGUCUGAGAAAGCUGAAACAGGGAAUUUUCUCACAAAACUGAAGUCCAUGAAGUUUGAUGGUGUUGGUAACGUGAGAGAACACAUACUAAAGAUGUCAGACAUAGCACAGAAGCUGAAGGAACUAGAGCAUCCAAUCACAAAUAAGUUUCUAGUGCAUAUUGAAUUCCUUAACUGCACAGUAUGGCCAGUUGAAAGUGUCAUACAACACUCAGAAAGCAACUUGGGACAUCGAUGACUUAAUCUCCAUGUGUGCACAAGAGGAAUUGAGGUUGUCAACUGAUAAAGUGGAGACUGUGAACCUUGUUCACAUUGCAAAGGGCAAACAUGUUGCAGUUGAUCAGUCAUCUGUGGCUGCUGGUAAGCAGAAGAAAACAAUACAUUAUUCUUCUUUAAAAAUACUAAACCCCUUAAACGAUCUCAAAAGUUUAAAGCCAUCUUUGAAGCACCAAAGCUUUGUUAGUUGGCCAUCUAAGGAAAGAUUGUACUGGUUUUAAAAAUUGGCUUGUUAAGAAAGGUAAUGAAAUCAAUGUUUAUGUUUGUUUUGAGUCAAAUUUGAUUUAUGUCCCUUCUUUUAGUUGGUGGUUUGAUACUGGUUGCUCAAUCCACAUUACAAAUACCUUGCAGGGAUUCACAAACCUAAAGAAGAGAAAUAAUGAAGUUUACAAUGUUUUUGUUGGAAAUGGGAGCAAAGUAGCAGUCGAGUCAGUUGACAGUGUCUCUUUAAAGCUUUCUUCUGGUUUUAUUUUGUUUCUUAGUCCAGUACUCUAUGUACAUUCUAUGAGAAGGAAUUUGAUUUUAGCUUCUAAGUUAGUCAAAUAAGGUUCUACUUUUAUUAGAGAAAAUGAAAGUGUAAGACUUUUCCUUUUGAAUAAAUUAAACACUUUGCUUGGUUAUGCCUUACUUCAUGUUGAUAUGUGGCAACUGCAGUGUGAUUACUUACAUGAAUGUUUCACAGUUCGUCACAUUGAUUCCAAGAGACUAUCUCAAAAUGAAAACUCUCCCAUACUUUGGCAUUAAAGACUCGGCCAUAUAUCCAAAGAAAGACUUGUGAUUUUAACUAAACAAAAUCUUAUACCAAAUCUCAAUUUUGAAAGUCCUCCAACCUGCAUUGAUUGUUUUAAAGGAAAAAUGACCAACACCAGGAAAUUAGGAUCCACAAGAAACAACCAACUAUUGGAGAUAAUUCAUAUAGAUAUGUGUGGCCCUUUUCCAAAUAAAACAAUCUGUGGCAACUCCUAUUUUGUCACAUUCAUUAACGACUUUUCAAGAUAUUGUUAUGUGUAUCUUAUAUCUGAAAAAUCUUCUGCUCUUGAUUGUUUAAGACAUACAAAAAUGAGGUUGAAAACCAGCUAGAAAAGAGCAUUAAAAUAGUGAGAUCAGAUAGGGGUGGUGAGUAUUUUGGCAGGUUCACAGAGAUUGGACAACACAAUGGAGUCUUUGCAUAUUACCUUGAAGCCUCGGGGAUCAUUGCUCAGUACACCACUCUAGGUACUCUCAAAAUGGAGUAGCAGAAAUGAAGAACAUGAUUCGAUCCAUGUUUUCAUGGUCUAAACUUCCAAUUUUUCUGUGGGGAGAAACACUUAAAACAACCAAUUACAUACUCAAUAGGGUUCCAAGUAAGUCUGUCAAAGUCAUACCUUUUGAAGCUUGGACAGGAAGAAAACCAAGUUUUAAUCAUUUCAUGUAUGGGGAUGUAGAGCUGAAGCACGGUUUUAUAAUCAUCAUGAAAGGAAGUUGGACUCAAGAACUAUCACUUGCAGGUUCAUUGGAUAUGCAGACAAGUCCAAGGUUUUUAAGUUCUACUAUCCUGAUUCUCACUAGAAUUCAGGAGACUAACAAUGCAAAGUUCAUCGAAGAUCUGGAAGAAGAAACAAUGCAUCACAGUACCUCAGAUUUCGAAGAAAUUGGAAAUGAAGUUGGUCAGCUCUCCACAAAAACUUAUGCAUUGUUACUUGAACGUCAAGAAAAUUCUCUUUCUCUCCCAACUGUUUUACAAAAUGCUUAAUCAGUGAACACUAUGUCCUUUCCUGAAACAUUGCACGAUUAUGAUCCUGAACCUCAAAUCCUCGAACAUCAAGUCCCUAAGGAUGCAGCUCAACCAUUACAACAAGCGUAGUUACCUAUUAGACACUCAAACAGGCAAAGAAAACUAGUGAUCCUACUUGAUUUUGUGUACUUACAAGAGACUGAAUAUGACAUAGGAGAUGAUGAUGAUCCCCUAACUUUCAAUCAAGCUAUCAAUAGCUCGAGAACAGACCUGUGGUGUGCAUCUAUGGUCGAAGAUCUUGCAGCCAUGGAGAAGAACCAAGUUUGGACACUGGUACCACUUCCAUGCAAUGCUAAACCCAUUGGCUGCAAAUGGGUGUUCAAAACCAAAAGAAAUACAGAGGGAAAGGUUGAAAGACACAAAGCUAGACUUGUAGCUAAGGGUUUUACACAAAGGGAAGGUAUUGACUAUAAUGAAACCUUUUCACCAGUUUCAUCCAAAGACUCUUUAAGGGUGAUCAAGGCUUUAACAGCCCAUUUCAACUUGGAAUUACAUCAAAUGGAUGUAAAAUCAGCCUUUCUUAAUGGUGUUUUGGAUGAAGAAAUAAUGAUGGUUCAACCACCAGGUUUUGAGGAGAAAAGGAAAGAGACUAUGGUCUGCAAACUCAACAAGUCGAUCUAUGGUUUAAAGAAAUCCUCCAGGUAGUGGUACAUCAAAUUUGAUCAAGUGGUUUCUGCUUUUGGUUUUGAAGAAAACAAGAUUGAUGACUAUAUAUAUCUCAAGGUCAGUGGCACGAAAUUUAUAUUUUUGGUAUUGUAUGUGGACGAUAUUCUUUUAGCUAGUUCAUACUUGACUCUUUUGCACACCACUAAGACCAUGUUAACCGAGAGUUUUGAUAUGAAAGAUCUUGGUGAGGCGCAUUUUAUUCUUGGUAUUGAGAUUGAGCGAGACAGAUCCAAGAGGAUGCUGAGGUUGUCUUAAAAGUCCUAUAUUGACAUAAUCAUGAAAAUAUUCAACAUGGAGAAAUAUGCAGGUGGCGAGCUUCCCAUUGCAAAAGGUGAUAAGCUUAGCAUUGACCAAUGCCCUAAAAAUGACCUCGAGAAAAAUGGAAUGAAUGACAAGCCUUAUGCAUCACUUGUUGGCAGCAUCAUGUAUGCUCAAGUAUGCAGAAAGCCUGAUCUAGGGUUGCAGUUAGUGUUCAAGGUCGUUUUCAGUCUAAUCCCGGGACUUCUCACUGGACUGCAGCAAAGAAAGUAUUGAGGUACUUAAAAAGAACAAGGAACCUUGCAUUGGUAUACCAGCAAGUUGAGAAUUUGGAAAUGGUGGCUUAUUCAGAUUCAGACUUGGCAGGUUGUGUUGAUGAUAAAAAGUCUACAAGUGGAUAUGUUUUUCUUCUUGCUGCUGGUGCAAUUUCGUGGAAAAGCUCCAAGCAAUAGGUGAUUGCUUCUUCAACUAUGGAGACUGAGUUUAUUGGUUAUUACACUGCCACUAAACAAGCAAUUUGGUUGAUGAACUUCAUCAUGGGACUGAAGGUUGUAGACUCAGUUGAGAAACCUAUAACUAUUUACUGUGACAACAAGGCUGCAAUCUUCUUUUCUAGAAACAACAAGAGGUCCAUUGCUUGCAGAUUAAUGGACAUUAAGUAUUUACGUGUGAGGGAUGAAGUCAGAAAAGAGCCGAUCAACAUAGUUCACAUUGGAACUGAUUCUAUGAUAGCAGAUCCAAUGACUAAGAGCUUACUAGUGGGAGUGUUCAAGAAACAUCUAAUACAUGGGAAUGAGAGAGGAUUUUGAUUCUGUUAAUGAGUGGGAGUAGUAAACCCAUUUGAUUCUGUUAAUAAGUGGGAGUAGUAAACCCAUAGCUAGUUCUAUUAUGUUUCCUUUCGCUUAAUUGGAUGCUUUCAUAAUGUUUUGUUCUCAUGUUAUAUUAUGAUAAUAAUGUGUGCCAUACUUUUGUACGAGGCUUAGCUCAGGAGUUGAAUUUUGUUUAUCAACCUGAAACUUUUGAAUUUUGUCAAACAACACAGUGCUUAUGGUGUAGGUACUUGUAAUUAUAAAGUGCACAUGUAGAAGAGAUUACAUAUUGCAUUUAUGAUUUAGUAUUCGAAGCUAUAAGUGACAGGUUGUUAAAGGGUAAUUGCAGCUUUCGGGACUUGUGAUCACCUUAGUCUUAGCCUAUGUAAUAACAUUCUUCUUGGACACUCAAGUGGGAGAAUGUAAGAUGUGAGUGUCAAGGAGAAUGAUUUCUUGUUCUCGACAAACUGAAAGUUCAGUGUAUGAGUUAUCAUGUUGAGGAAAUUCCGAUCCUACUUGGCUAAGAUUAAGAGUCCUAAUAACAUGCAAUUAUAUUCACGUAACCCUAUCAAGACUUGACAAGAGUUCAAAACUUACUAGGACUAUAUCAAAACCCUAAUCUGUUUGGAAUAUCCGAGGUAUCAGUUAAUAGGCCUGAUAUCAAGGGAGUAUGGAUAUAUAUAGGGAGGUCCCUGCACUCACAACGCCGUCCCUUUUUGAGCGAACCCUAUUCUAGCUGGAUUAUUGGCUAUUGAGUGUAGAAGACCUUCUGUUAUUCAUUGCAGCAAUGUCGAGCUCUUCUUCUUCAGGUAAGUCUAUUAUAUAUGUUUACUUAUGCAUGUCAUUGUAUGUAUGUGAUUCUAUGAAUGCAGUGUUUUAACGUCCAACAUCUCUCUCUCUCUCUCUCUCUCUCUCUCUCUCUUUCUAAGGAAUGCCUAGUGCAUGCAGUGGCGAAGCCACGUGAGGGCGAGGAGUGGCGGCCGCCACUCCCCUCGCCGGAAAAACAAGGUUGGAGUGCUGGCCAGCCCCUCCCCUCCUCCUGCUGCAGCGCUGCUGCUCUUCGUCUCCUCUGGUGCUGUCUAGUUCUGCUCUGCUCACAGCAGAGCUGCAUUCAAAUUCCCAGUAGAAAAAUCCCAGCAGUCAGCACACACCGGGCCACCGUUUGGCCCUUUGUCCGCGCCAGCCAUCUCUACGGUGGGCUGACUAUUGCAGAGGAGGGCAACUCCUGCGCGAGGAAGAAGAACGGAAAAGAAAAGUUGUUAUAAAAAUAUCUUGAACCGGACGAAGUCGUUUCAACAUUCCUUUUAAAUGAAACUUUUCAUUUUGUUACUUUUUCUUCUAUCCUUUUUUUGUUGCUUUUCCAUUUUUCCUUUCCUUUUUUUUUUCCUUCUCUUUUUUCCGUUUGACUUGGCUCCUUUGUUUUUGGUUAAAUUGUUUGGCUUGGUCUGUCAUUCUUUUGGUUUGAUCUUCUGAUUGGUCCCUAAUUAUACUUUAAAAACAUAAGUGCUUCAAUGAAAUAUUUUAGAUAAACCAUACCCACAAAAUACCACAUAAAAUAAGACUUUCAAUACUAAAAUUACCUUAAUGUUGUUAAUACAAUAUGGAAGAGGUUAUUUCAUACUCAAAUUUGUAUGUUUUUUUUUUCUAGCCAUCACUAUUUUCAAUGAAUUUCCGAUGUGAAUUUGAGGACUUGUUUCAUGUUUCAAGUAAUAUGAAAAUUAAUGGAAAUGGUUUGAAAAUUUUUUAGUUUUAACCAAAAGAACAAAAAUGUGUUGUAAGUGAAUAGUACUAAGAGUGACUUUUUAGAGUAACAAUGUCCUUAACGUUAAAAGUGAACAGUACCAGGAGUGUUUCGUUAUAAGACUCCCUAAUUUAAAUCCAUCUGGGCUCCUGCCUAAAUCUCACCUAGGCACCUAGCUGCUAGGUUCUGAUCCGCUAUUUGACUAGCGCUUAACAUUUUUUAGGAUCUAAUCCUAGGCAAUUUAAGCUUCAUACAUUGACUUUGAUAUUUUUGCUUACAAACGCUUUGGUGGAGAGACUAUUUUCUGUUAUGAAUAUUGACUCAAGACUUUGCACUCUCCAAUGUGAAAGCAACCGCUUCGAUUGAACCUUGCACUCUUUUGAAUUUCGCCCCUCCCUUGGCAAAUCCUGGCUUCGAGUGCAUGCACAGCUAAAAUUUUUGCCGAGAACGACAAGGACAGUGGAAGUCCAGAACCGGAUCGGAUAAAAUCUGUCCGGUCAUCAAUUUCGUAAAUUUUGGACCACGAUGCGAGUCGCCCCAAACCCUUGAUAAAAUGCUUGUUUGACAAAUUUGAAUUCGCUACGAUGUAUUAUUAUGUAAGUUUUGUUGCUUAUGAGGUAUUUAUGUUCUGUGCUGUUUAAAUGUUCUGUUCUACAAAAGCAAUUGCUUGACUUGAGUGAGAACUGAAGGGCUCGCUGGAAUGUUCAUAGGGCAUCUCCAAUGGGGUCAAAAUUUAAAAUUGAGAUGAAAAAACCAUAUUUAUCUCAUUUCCAUUUCCAGAAGAUGUAAAUGAGAGUUCUACUCUAAUGGAAGGGAUGUAAAUUUGAGCUCUCAUCUAAUUUUCUCUCUUUGAUUAGCGGGACUUAUCAUCAAAAGACAUAACAAAGAAUAUAAAUUUAAGCUCUUAUUUAUAUUUUCCAUUGAAUAUGAAUAAUUUAGAUUUCAUCAUUGGAGAAUUUUGGCGAAGGAAAAAUGUAAUAUAGAUGGUUGAUAACCUUCUUUAUUCUUUAUUUCGCCAGUAGAUGUGCUCUUAGAGCAACAACUGAGAUAAAAAAGCGAUUAAUACAUCCAGUGAUAUAGCGUAUACAGUAGAGCUGAAGCGCUUUCCAGGGGAGCAUCCUUAUCUAAGAGAGGCAUGGACAUGAAGGCCCCCAUCAAUGUGGAGGGUGACCUUGGUUGUGUAACGGGCUACUUUGUUCUCUUCUUUCAACUUGAAUUUAAAGCUCCCUAAAAGCACAGCAGAAAAGAUGAACAUCUCUCUAUGAGCAAAGUCCUUCCCUAAACAAAUCCUUGGACCCGCCUGUUUAUUUAAAUCACAAAAUUUCUUCAAUUCUUUUUUUAAUAAAUAAAUAAAUAAAAUGUGGCAUGUAUUGAUGCUAUUCUCUUACGCUGAAGGCUAUAAAUUUGAAAGGGCUUUCUUCCUGGAAAACGCCAUUUUCGUUUAGCCAUCUCUCUGGCCGAAAUUCUUGUGCGUCAUCACCCCAUAGAUACGUCAUCCUGCCCAUGCUAUAAGCAUUGUAUGCCACCAUAUCACCUUUUUUGACACUAAAUCCAUCUGGCCAUGUAUCAUCAGAUGAACAGAUCUUUGCAUUCUAUGUCGACAGUGCAUAUGUCAUCACACAAAUUGUAAAAUAAAUAGUCAACAACGAUUCAAAAUAAUUCAAAAAAUUCAGAAAGUACGCACAUCUGUUUAUUUCUGGCCUUGAAUUGAAUAAAUCAAAAGAGAAGUAAGGGAAAAAAAAUAAACAGAGCCUUCGGAAACCAUUUCCCUUGCAAUAUGUAUGCAUUUGGUUUAAUUAAGAUGUUAGUCAAAUUACCAGUGGAACUGAAGGGCAGAGCCUGAGUGUCUCGGCCAAAGCUGCAUAGAGAUACUGCAUUUUGUUAAGGGCUUCUUCAUUAAGACCGUCUGCAAGUUCAACAAUGCUUGAAUCAUCCUUCAGAUUUGCCGCUUCUCGAACUUCCUUCGCAACCUUUUCUUGCAUAUGAGGGUGCUUGCAGAGCAUAUAAAUAACCCAUGUAAUAGUGCUCGCCGUUGUGUCUCUGCCGGCAACAAUGAGACUCAAAAUCAAGUCUCUCAAGUACUUUGGAUCAUUCCCUCUCACUUCCAAAAGCCUUGAAAUCAUGUCUCCCUUCUUCAACUGUCACUCAUCCACAUUAAUCAUAUAUAUUAAGAUACUAAACUAAUCAUUAAUUAAUGGAAUGGAAGGUAAUUAACUCACUGCAGGUAGCUCAUCCUCUGAUGAAUUAUGGGAUGUUUCAAUCUUUCUGUUGAUUAAUUUAUAAAUAAAUUGAUCCAUCAGUUUAAUAUCAUUUCGCAGCUUUGCUUCUGACCCAAUGUUGAGGAACCGUUUGAUUUUCCAGGAGAAAUCAACAAAACGAUGCAGGGUAAGUUUGUUUGCUUCAUCGAAAGCAUGGGCAAACCGGGUGCCUUCUUCAUUUGUCCCAUACAUGGUAUCUACUUCCAUUCCAAGCAGAAUCUUGACGACUGAAUCGAACCCCGCUUUCAUAAUCAAAUCCUUCCCAGUCCAAAAAUAUAUAUAUUAAAAAAGAACCAAGAUUUAAAUAUCUGCAGAAGAAAUAAAAUGACAAUUCUAUCUAUGUGAAUAUCGAACCAUUAUUGAAAACUUACUUGGAUCUCUAUGACUUGGCCGCAGGUUGCCGCUUUAGAAAUGAUCCCAGCAAGCUUUACUGCGUUGGUUUUGAAAACUCCAUUGCUGAAGUCUUUUACUACUUUGGUUGAUAUUUCAUAGCUAGAUAACUUCCUUUGAUGUAUCCAUUUUUCGCCAUCCACAGCGAAGAUCCCAUCGCCCAAAACAUCUGUCAAAAUUUCGUAGUUGUAUAACCCCUGUAGCAGGUCAAGCUAGUUAAUUAGUAGCAUAAAUUAACGUGUGAGACAAUGUACGUGCGACCAUUUGAUAAAAACACAGUUUUGGAAUUUUCCAAUAGCAUGAAUUUUGAUAAAACACACGUACCCUGCCAUAAUUUGCGAAGUUCGUUUUGAGAAUGUAUUCGAGAUUUGCAGGAUCCACAGUAAUAACGUAAUUUACGAACAAGUUAAGUACCCUGAAAGUUUUGUGUUUGUAUGCAAACUCAGUGAUAAAAUCGUGCAGCCUGUGAAAGUUGACGAGGGCGUGUAAGAAGGUUGUGACAACAGGAUGGUAUCUCUUUGUCAUCUCAGAACUCCGCAAUCUUUUCCUCGCAUGGGAUCUGAUCGCAAGUAAAGCUAAAACUACUAGAGCUAAACUUAUUGCUACGGGAGUGCAAAGAAGAUCCAUGACACUCAGUGGGGGCGGUGAAGAAAAGAAACACCUUGUCUCACCCAUUUAUAGAGAAAAUAAAAUUUCCUUUUUCUCUUUUUUUAUUUAACCAGAUAUUUACAGUAUUAUAAAAGUUUGUAUCUAACUUGGCUGUAUUCAACGCCUUGUCACGUCAAGCUCGCAAUUAAUUUCCAUUAAGUUUCUUUUAAUACAGUAUAAACCAACGGGGUUCCUCAUAAUUAUAGUUUAUUUAUAUUCCUCUUUAUUUAUAAAUACGAAGUCUUAAAUUUGAAUCACAAUGAAUUUACAACCAAUUUAUUUCUUCUAACUCCUUAGAAUAAUUUUAUCAUUGUAUAAAGAAAAACAACAACAAACAACCCCAUCCCAAAAGAGUGAGACAAUUCUACAUUUAACAAAACCGAUCUAAGCGGGUCUUAUUUGAUUGGUUAUUACUGUUUGAGAAAUCAUUACCGACAUAUACGGUUUGGGCAAAGACCUUGCCCAUCCUUAAUUGAUUUGGAUUUCAGAGAAUUUUAAUAAUAUUUUUUUAACUGACAAAUUUCAAAUGAUUUUAAUAAACUUUACAAUUCUAUAUGAAUUUUGACAGAUUUAUAUAAUCUUGCCCAUUCUGCAGCUUUUCGUUGUCAUUGGAUCAUGAAUAUUGUUGGAGUCUUGGAGACGAUUAUAUAUUUAUGUACCGUACGUGUUAUCCUAGAUAAUCAACGUCAAUCAAGACGACUAGGUUAACAAACAAUAUGCACCCCUAUUCCUAUUGCCACCAAUCUUAUAAAUAAAUCAGAAUGUGUUUGUCAAAAAAGCAUCACAUCGCCAAAAUUUAAUUGGCUUUUCCUGCUGACCACAUAAUUUGCUGGCAAUAAGAGACUACUAGGAUUAGUUUGAGGGUUUAAAGACUUGGACUGGAACCUCGGGCCCCAGUUUCUGGAAUCGGCUGUGGGGUUUUGUGUUGAAGGGAGAUAAUGAGACGACAUAAAUGGUCGGUUGUUUGAAAGUAGGAUAAAUGCAGGAGAAGCUUAAAAAGGAUUCCUAGGGUGGAGGUGAGAUUUUUUAUAACCUUUGUUAUACAUAAAAUUUGGGAGCAUUUUUGCUUACCACUAUAAACUAUGGUGCAUACUUACCAUACACCUAAUCAAUUGACACGUGUCAUUUCACUUAAUCUUGGUUAAUUUUUUUUCAAAAUUGAAAAAACUAACAUUUAAUGUAGAAGUUAACUAGAGUUAAGUGAAAUGACACGUGUCAAUUGAUUCUCAAAUCCUACAGUCUCUUUCUUAAUGAAAUCUUUCAAAAUCUAUGACAUUUUGAAUACCUACAUAAUUGUAACUUGGAUUUUAAAUAUUAAUUGACUACAUGUGGAUUUUGAUGUAUUCUUCAAAAUCCUAUUAAAUCUUAUUUUGACUACACCUUGAUUUCAAAGUUAUUUAAAAUAAUAUUUUAAAGUCAUAAUUGACUACAUUCUGAUUCUAAAAUCAUUUAAAAUCCUUUCAAAUUGAUAGAUUUCAAAGGAUUUUAAUAGACUCUACAAUCCUAAAUGGAUUUUUAUCACAGAUUUUUAUGAACUUCUUUUAUGAAUUUCUUAGGAUUUAAAAAAAAUUUGAGAAUCACAUGCGAAGCCGUUAGAUCAUUUUUAAUGAAAUCCUGCUGUUGGAAUUAAAACUCCCUCAUCACCUAAACACAAAAUGAUGCUCUCGGAAACACUCGCCUCUCGCUCUCGCGAAGAAGGGGAGCAUGAGUAGAAUAUAAUUUCAAGAACCAGUAAAUUCAUAAUAGGCAAUAAAUAUUACUUCAUUUGGAGGUUAGAACAGCUUAUUGGAUUGACAACUAACUGGUGACUUGUGACCAGUAGUAGAACCAUUCUCUUGCAUAUAUGGCUCUAGAUAGAAUCGAGCACGGAAAACAGGCAACUGUGUAAAUAUGUUGGAGGUACUGCAAAAGGAUAUAGCAGAUAAUUCAAAAACAUUUUGCAAGCAGCAUCCUUGUCUAUCAUGGCUUUGUUACAGAACUAAUUCUUCCACAUUUCGUUAUCGUCUGCUCUAAAAACUAAAAGGCAAUUGCAGUUUUCUUUGCAUUAGAAGGAAUUGCUAUCGCGUUUUUUGUUUCUUCUGUUCCUUUGAGCAUUGCAUGUUUGUGAAAUUCUUCCACCCUUCUGCUUUGUAAAAAAGAAAAUUAAGUAUAGUAGUAUGUAUUGUAUACCCAUAUAUUCAGUUUAAGCACAGGUUGUUAGCUUCUUAAUUUUUAUGUCCACCUUUUAUAAACAUAUUCGUAAGUUGGCCCCGAGCUCGAUUGCCCUUCCCCACUCUGUGUGUGUGUGUGUGUGUGUGUGUGUGUGUGUGUGUGUGUGUGUGUGUGUGUGUGUGUGUGUAUUAUAUAUCGUUUGUAAUUUGAGACAUUCAAAUUAGCUUGAGAGAGAAGGUAGAACAAUGGCUUAGCAAUGGCAGGAUUUCCCAGAGAACAUUCUAGUGAGGUGGGCAUUCUUAGAGAGAAGUAGAGAAGCUUGAAAAUAAAUCCUAUGGGUGGAGAUGAGAUUCUUUAUAAGCUCAGUUAUGCAUAAAAUUCACUUUCAAAUUCUACAAAAUCUCAUACUUAAUGAAAUCUUUUAAACUUUAUGACAUUUUGAAUACCUAUAGAUUUGUCUGGACUCUUUAAAAUCACACCUAGAUUUGGAUGUAUUUUUUAAAUCUUGUUAAAUCCUACUUUGAAUACGCCAUGAUUUUAAAGUCCUUUAAAAUCUUUUUCUAAAUCUUAACUGACUACAUCAUGAUUUUAAAGUUUUUUAAAAUCAUUUCAAAUCUUAUUUGAUUACACCCUCUUUAGUUUGGCCUUUUAAUUGGCAAAGAAGAUUCUCUUAAUAAAGGUAAAGAUUUUUAAUAUUGAUUUCUCCAAUUCUACGCCCAAAAAGCAUGGCUAGACUUGAAUUACGAAUAAUCACCUUAGAAAGUGACUCAUAGAAUUUCAAUAAGAGUUGUUUUAUUGACAUGGCACAAUUUAUUGACUACACCCCACUUAAAUUUAUAAUAUUAACAAACUUAUUUGUCCUAACAAAAAUGACUAUUUAAACUGUAGAACAUGCAUAUUGAAUAACGUUUAUUUUCUAAACACACCUCACAAGUCCAUCGUUUACACAAUUCAAAAAGAAUUUGGUAUGUUGAAAUAAGUGUGAUAUUUAGCAGUACAUGAUCGCGCAUGAAGAACUUGUAUGUAGAACAUGCUUGUACUUCAAAAUUAUUCAACUUUUUAUUUUUUCCAAACAGUAGAAUUACCCUUUCUUGCUCUUUAAUUUCUGAUUUUUUUCCAGGACAUUAGAAAACCUAAUACCCAAAAUUUCACAAAAAUUUAAAACCCAUUGACAAAUCCCGCUUCGCUUACCAGCACGACACUUGUUUACUCCCUUACAAUCCUGUUUUCACAGUUUAGGCUUCUCUUAUUUCGCUCGCUGCUACAAUGAAAAUUGCUUUUGCUUGAAAAAAAAAAACAAAUAAAAUAUUUCUGAACAUUUGAUUUCGUAUUAAAGACAAAUAAGAGUUCCUGAAGACCACUUCGUGAAGAUGACGAAUAUGAUAUUUAUUUAGCAUUGAACAUAUUGAUGUUAGUAUUGGGUGGAGUGUGGAGUGAAAUGGUAGUUUUGACAAGUUAAGUGGAUGUAUUAAGUUAAAUUUUACUUUGAAAAGUAAUUGUAUAGUGUUUUUAGUAAGUGAGGUGCAGUGAAUAAAAUAUGGAGUGUCAAAAAACAACCAUUUCAAUAAGAGAAAUGUUAAAGAGACUCUUUUGAAGUUAGACUCUUUUUUUUUUUUUUUUUUUUUUUUUUUUUUUUUUUUUUUUUUUUUUUUUUGGAGAACCUCGGCGGUACGAGGGAAAUUUAUUGAUAAGAAAAAAGAAGAUACACCUAGACAGGGGGGGACAUAAACCUAACCCCUCAUAGAACAAGAGAAAAGAAAUACAAAAAAGGGGGGGACAUGCACCUUACCCCUUUUGAGAAAGAAAAUACAAAAGAGGGGGGACAUAGACCGUACCCCUCUUGGAAAAGAAAAUACAAGGAAAAGACUGGGCGGACAUAAGCCCAAACCCCUCAAUAAACCUAAAAGGUAAUAACCUGCAAGACAAGCUGCAAAACAAAAGGGAAUCCAAAAAAGGUUAGGAAAAGAAAGGAGAACACACAUCAAGAAGAGGAGACAAACCUGUAGGUUGGCAUGCCCAAGAAAUCUGAGUGCAGAGGAGGAAGGAUCUCUAUAGGGGGAGUGGAAUGCCAAACAAGGGAAGAUGAUAGAAGCCCUAAAUUGGCUAAUUUGUCAGCCACAACAUUCCCUUCUCGAAAAAUAUGAGAGCAACGAAAAACCAUGUUCUGCAAAUGGAGAGUACAAUUGUUCCAGCGUGUCUGGAGAGACCAAGGGGGAGAGAAAGAUCCAGAAGCAAAACAUGAUAUUACACUAGAAGAGUCGCUUUCAAGCCAUAAAUUUAGCCAGCCCCGCGUGUGGGCCAAUUCGAUAGCAAGGAUGACAGCAUGGAGCUCCGCAUAGAAAGAAGUACGAUGACCCAAGCUUAGGGAGAAACCACCAAGAAAAUAACCUGCAGAGUCACGAAAAACCCCGCCACAUGCCGCAGGACCCGGAUUACCUUUAGCAAGGCCAUCAGUAUUCACUUUAACCCAAGAAAAAGGAGGGGGGAGCCAAUGAACAGGGACAAUAGAAGGAGCUUUACAGGAGUUAGGCGAUAUUCCAAGAGAAACUAAAAGUUGCCUAUCCAAAAUGCCUCGUACAUGGCCAGGGGUGAGAGCUCCAACCUGCCUAAUCCAGGCCGAGGUGGAGCGGAAGAGACGAGAGAGGGAGGGAGGUUUGCCUUCAAACUUCACUUUAUUACGCAUCUUCCAAAUAGCCAUUAGUAAGAAAAACCCUGAAGCUAUCCAGACAUUGCGAAGAUGUGGAGAAAACCGCUUUGACAGAAAAACAAGCCAUAGAUCAGAGAUGGAGGCCGUAAGAGGUAUAAUAGUGCCAAAUUGGGUAGCUAGCCAACGCCAAGCACAUUGUGCAAAUUCACAGCUAGAAAAUAAGUGGUCAAUAGAUUCAGAAUUCUUGUGACAUAGUUGGCAUAUUGGAGCCAGCGGGAUGCCUCGGCGCUGAAGUUGAUCCUCCGUUGGGAGCUUGUUGAAUAGAAUCUUCCAAACCAAAAUAGAGUAACGAGGUGGGAUGAAAGGACGCCAGAUAAUGGAAGCCCAACUCUUAACAGGAAACCGAUGACGGACAAUUUCAUAGCCAUCAGAGAACGAAAAAACACCAGAAGUAGAGACUUCCCAAAUUAAAACGUCCUUAUCCUCAUCAAUUGGAAGAGGCAUUUCUAAAAUCUCUUUAGUUAGGUCUGGGAAGGUAGAAGAAAAAAUAGAAGGAAUAACCCAUUUUCCCAUACGAAUAAUAUUUGAGACCUUAGUACGAGAUAAAGAAGGAGCAAUCUCUGUUGCACCAACGACAUCCACAAUAGGCUUAUCCAGCCAUUUAUCAACCCAAAGGGAAGUAGUAGAACCAUUUCCAAUCACCCAACGACAAUUCUGAAACAAGAUAUGAAGAAUGGAUUUAAUACCAGGCCAUAUAGAAGAUCGCUUAUAACUACAAGAAUAUAGGCGACCAUGUAGCUUGAAACGUUCCCGAAGAUAAAUACUCCAAGGGGAAUCAGUAGUAAUAAUAAGCCAUCCAAGCUUUAAGAGAGCAGUAGUGUUAAGAGAGCCAAGAUCACGCAAACCCAAACCACCUUCAUUCUUUGGAGCACAUAUCUGACGCCAAGAAACGGUAACAGACUUCUUGGAGGUUACGUCACCAGACCAUAUAAAAUUGCGAGCACAUCUUGAAAGAGGCCUUAGCAAGGAAGAAGGCCACUUAUAAACAGAGAAGCUAUGCAAGAGCAUACUUUGAAAAACUGAUUGAGUGAGUUGAACUCUUCCUGCCAUAGAUAAAAGCUUCCCUUUCCAACCAGUUAACUUAGCUUUAGCUUUAUCUGCCAAGGCUUGAAGAUAACUCCUUUUAGGCUUGCCACAGAAAAUUGGAACUCCUAAGUAGACAAAAGGUGCUUUGCCUUCUUUGAAACCCAAGUAACUCUCAACCACAGCUUUACGAUGCCUUGAGGUAGAGCCCAAGUAGAAAGUACUUUUUGCCUUAUUGAUAAAUUGACCAGAGGCUCUACUAUAUCUAUCGAAGAAACCUUGCAAAUUACGCAGAGUGACACCAUCACUUCUACAGAAAAUGAAUAAGUCAUCUGCAUAGAGAACGUGAGAAGGAGAGAUACAACCUCUUGGAGCAAAAAUUGGCUUAGUAAGCCCAUCAAGUUGAAGACGACUCAGGCCCCUUGAUAACGCUUCCUCAGCUAGACAGAAAAGUAACGGAGAGAGAGGAUCCCCUUGGCGCACUCCUCGGGAACAAGAGAAAAAACCAUGCGGGGAACCAUUGAUUAGGAUGGACAGUUUAGCAGAUCUUAAGAUGGUAGAAACCCAGUCUAUAAAACAAGUGGAGCCCAAAGUUAGUAAGCACCCGCAAAAGAAAUGACCAAUCUAAAGUAUCAAAAGCCUUAGCUAUAUCAACUUUGACUCCCAUAUUGCCACCACGAGAUUUUUUGUCAAGCACAUUGAAACAUUCUGAAACAAGGCCAAUACAAUCUGUGAUACGACGACCAGGUAUAAAAGCAGCUUGAUGCGGAGAAAUAAUGCGUUGAACAACAUGAGAAAGACGAACUGCCAAAAUUUUGGGAAUAAUCUUAAAGAGAAAGUUUGCCAAAGCAAUAGGUCUAAAGUGAGUCAUGGAAAUAGCGUCUUUCACCUUCGGAAUCAAAACUAAGAAAUUACUAUUGGCAUUGGGGUAUAACCAAUUUGAUUGAAAGAAUUGCUUCACAAAUUGAAUAACGUCGAAGCUGACAAUAUCCCAACAAUGGUGAUAGAAAAAACCUGGAAAACCAUCUGGCCCUGGCGCACUGGAAGCACUUAAGGAGAAAACUGCCUCCUUAAUUUCCUCAUCAGUAGGUAAGGCAGAUAAGAGAUCAUUUUCAGAGUCUGUGACCAUCGGCUGGAUGACUUCACAAACCUCAUCAAUACCUGAAGGGGUGAAAGAAGAGCCGAACAAAGUCUGAUAGAAAUUAACAAUAUGGUUCUCAAUUGCCAGCGGGUCAGUAAGAAGAUUGUUUCCAUCAAGAAUACAACCGAUAUGAGAGCUGGAUGAUUUAAUACGAGCAUAGGCAUGAAAGAAAGAAGAGUUUCUAUCCCCUUUAGUUAACCACUUAACACGAGCUCUAUCUUUCCAAAAAGCCUCCUGCAUUUGGAGAGACUCCAUUACUGUAGUCUUGGCGACAAUCUCCUCCUCGAAAAGAUCAUUAUUUAUACCCUCAGUUGAAAUUCUUUGUUGAAUCAUAGAAAGAUUAUGCCGAGCAUUAGCCACUCUAUUAUGGACGUCACCAAAGACCGAAAAAUUCCAUUGGCGAAAGCAGGUUUUUAGAGCUUUCAAUUUUUGCAGAAUGAUAAACAUAGGACAUCCAUAGACAACUGUAUUUCUCCAGCAAUGAGUUACAGUUUCUCGAAAAGAUGGAUGUUGAACCCACAUUGAUUGAAAACGGAAAGGACGAUGACCAUUGUUCAAAACUCUAGAACCAGAGAAGAUAAGGGGGUUGUGAUCUGAGACUACCUUUGGCAAUGCUAUGCAGUUAGAGUGGGGCCAAGAAUCAAACCAGCUAAUAUCACACAAGGAGCGAUCUAACCUUCUUUCAGUGCGACCACGUGACCUCCAGCCAUUAGACCAUGUAAAGGCUGCCCCAGAAGUGUUCAAGUGGGUAAAGUUACAAGUGUCAGACAUAUUACUAAACUGAGCGCAUGAAGCUUGGGACGGUCUGCCUCCUCCCAUCUGCUCGUGGGCGCCCAGGAUAGCAUUGAAAUCACCAAUAGCCAUCCAUGGAACUUGUGUUUGUGGGCGCAGAGAGAUAAAAUCAGCCCACAAGUCUCUUCUUUUGAUAGGUGAAGUGCUUGCAUAAACAAAUGUGAACUGGCUUGGGAUAUGGUCAAAAGUACAGCGAACCGUAACCUGUUGAUCCGAGAUAGAGAUAACUAAAGGGUCUGCACAAGCUGAAGAUGUUAGUAACCAAAGGUUGGGAGCAAGAGUUCCUCUAGAAUUAAAAGUAAGAGCAGAUAGAUUUAAAGAAUCCCAAUAAGCAGCUGAAAUAGAAUUAAAAGUCACCAUAGGCUCUGCAAUGCAAACCAAAUCCGGGUGAUGCAACCGACAGAUGUUAGAGAGCUCCGUCCGAGAGUCAUCGUUACCAAUGCCACGGAUAUUCCAGAAGAGAACCUUCAUUUAUAACGAGCUGGUAUUCCUCGGACCCUACUUGGAUAUGGUUUAUCAGAGGGUUGAAUAAGAUUGGCAAGCUGCUUUUGUUUUUUCCGUUGACUAUUAGAUAACACAGGAGUAAAACCAUCCAUAUCACAGCCUUCCAUGUGAUUGACAAUAUCGAUGACAUCCUUAGCUAAUGUCGCAACAUGUUCAAAACCAGGGGGAAUGUUAUGGUUGUCAUGAGGAUCCUGCAUGCCAAAAUUAUUUGGGACAUCUGUGUUGCCCAACUGCUGACUAUUAUGAGCUACCGUCUCGACCUGCUCAAAGCCAGGAGGAGAGCUAGAGUCGUCACAGAGAUCAUGUGGGCCAAGAUUGUUUGGGACAAUGGUGUUGCCCAAAUGCUGACCAUAAGAAAAACCAUUCUGAAGAUGUGAUCCAUCUGGAGACAGCGAUCCGGUCAUAGAAUUGCUAAUAUGCGAAAUCCCAGGGGGUUGAAUACUAAUAUGCGUAUCAGCGGUGUCAGUCUCUGGUAUGGCAUUACCAGAAACAGUUGGCGUUAUUCCAAGAGGAGACUGAAGAAUGGGCUCAGCAUUACCAUCAUCCGAUGCCAUAAUACCUGCAGGCAACAGUUGAUCAACCUGUUGAAGAGGUUCAGGUUCAGAAGCAUGUGACCCACAAAAGACAUUAACCGGUAUUGUUGUAUCUUUUAUGGGACGAUAUUCCAUGUGCAGUUGACUGCGAGAGUGAUCUCCGGUUUUGUUGUCCCCCAUGUUACCACCCUUUCGCGUCCGGCUACGAGAACGACCUCUCGACAUCUGUUUAAGUUGUCUGCAACUAUUAGCCAAAUGCCCUAUCAAACCACAGUGACUGCAUUUGGGCGGUAAAUUUUCAUAAACCACCUCAACCGGGAAGCCAUGACUUUCUCUUUCAACCAUAAGAGAUGUAGGUAAAUCAUCUGCAAGAUUGACAUCAACUAAUAUGCGUGCAUAAUAACCAUAUUGCCUUUCCCUUGUAGCUGAAUCUAGUUGCAAGGGAGUGCCGACCCCUCUCGCAAUUUCCAUCAAGUGUCUAGGAUGCCAAUAUUCCUGACUCAAACCAAAAAUUUUGAUCCAUACCUGAGCAUGAGUUUGAGGGAGAACAUCACCUGGUUUAAAAUCUGGCGUCCAUUUUGAUAACCUGAAUAAACCAGUAGCAAGAGUACACGUACCGCCACCCCAUGCCCGUCGCAUAUCAUCUUCCUUAUUGAAAUGGAUAUCAAAAUAACCUUUACCUAUAGGAACCAGGUUCCAUGGUGCAGUAGGGCGCCAUGCAUCUUCUAAGCAAGAUUUUAGAGCACCGGUCUUCAUUGGCGUAGAACCCUUUUUUAGGAGCAAACGCCCAAGGAGGUUAUCUUGAAACAACUUCAACUGUUCUUGGUAUAGAUCCUCGCUAAUUUUGACAUAUGUUUUGUCUCCACGCACAACCGGAGUUGGAAGUUGGCUGAGAUGGACGUCUUCAAUGGGGAUGGAAACGACAGAAGCAAAAGUCCUUGCCUUCAGAAUUGGUUGAACGGGGGGCAUAUUAGUUGUCGGCAUAACCGUCUCUGCAAGAAAACCCCAUGGACAGACGAUAUUUGUGCCCAUGAUAAUUCAGUUAAGAGUUGUCAACACCAUAAAGCAAGGUUGAACGCCGAAUAAACCUUGGGCGGUUGAACGCAGAAUAAACCUUGGGCACCCUGGAAAAAAAAAAAAAAAAAAAAAAAAAAAAAAAAAAAAAAAAAAAAAAAAAAACCCCGCAGAUUCUCUGGAGCAAUUCGUCGAGCAGGUACAAGGCACCACAGCCAAGCAACCAGAGGCAGAUCAAGCUUUCGGCAGGAGGAGGUGCUAGUACCGAAGAGAGCUUUCAGAUUGACUGGGGCAAUUCGUCGAACAGGUACAAGGCAUCCAUUAGCAGAGAAAACAAUCUUGGAAAUUUGGAACAAGGGAUGGUUGCUGUCGAUGGUUCAAGUGUUGGUGAUCGUCGGUUGCGGGUGCAGGUUCAGAAUUGCAACGAUGAUGAUGCGGAUUCAGGGAUUCCAUUUGUUGACGGAGUUCCAGGAAAUGACAAGCAUGCUGCUGAUGCUGUUCUUGUUAUACUAACCAUAAGCGAUAUAUUGGUCUGGAAUGUGAGCCUUGAACUCAAGACUUCAUGUGUAAUUAAUUUGAAAUUUCGUCGGGAUAGAAUACUGAAACUUUUGAGCAGAAGCACUUGGAAAUUCACUUGCAGGCUGCGAUUUAAUUUCUCAAGAAUUUAACCAUUCUUGUUGACCAAGUGUUCUGCAAUCUGAAACAUCAUGUAUUGUCCACAUGCUAGAUAUAUAGAGCUUUUUGCUCCUUUCAGCUAAUUGGCGCGCACACACUAGCACAAGCACUCCCGUAACAAAUCCAAAAUGAAACCCAGUGACUGUCUAAUGAAUUUUCUAUUAUCUUAUAGUUUAACGUUAGUUUUGUACUAACAUUAUAAAAUAUUAUGCAAAAAAUAUGAAAUGCUAGAGAGUCUAUACGCAAUCCUAUUGUUGAGAUAGUCUUCUUAGCAGUUAGUAUUUCUCUUUCAAUAAAUAUCUUCUAUGUAUUUAUGAUAUUACACAGCUAUUUUUACUUUUUACACACUCUUGUUAAUUUUUAUUCAUUGAUUUUCUCCAACCAUUUAAUUCAACUGUCGAAAAUUGAGACGAGUGUGUGCGAGAUAAAAAUAAGUGUGGAUAUCACCAAAACACUUAUUAAAUAAAUAAAUUAAUUAAAUAUUAAUAAAAAAAAGUGCUUUAUAUAAUGUUAACAGUGUUAGGUUGGAAAUUUAUGGGGAAUUAGGUAGGAAUUGAAUGGUAGGAACUAAAUGGAGUUGUACUGUGUCUACGUUGCGUACGGGGACAUAGAAAUCGAACGACCGAGAUAAAUGUGACACACAUGUGAACUCAAACUCAUCGGCAAGUUUUACAUGUCUAGUGUUUGGACCUGGGUUGUCUGCUCUUCUCGUCCCAUACCUUUUUAUCAUUUUUUAUUUCUGUGGUCACGAUUAAGUAACAUCAACAUUUUAUAUUGAUUUUUUUAUCGAAAUAAUAAGAUAAAAAUUAAUGAGAAUAUAAAAUGUUGACGUGGCUUAACCGUGACCACAAAAAUAUGAGGGGAUGGGAAGGGUAUGGGUGGGGGAGGGCAGAUGUCACAGCCCGUCCUGGAAUUUUAAUUCCGAGGACGUGAAAAGACGAAAAUGCCCUUAAACGAGACUAAGGGCGAAAAUUUAACAACUGGUUUUACUUAAAGUUCCUAAGUUAUUUGGUUUUAGGAACUUAAACUAGGCUUAAGUUUGGAUUUUUAUGUUGGAAUUUAUGAAAUUGGGAUUGAGGUUGAACACGUGGGAUCCCCACACCUCAAAACCCUCCCCAUAACCCGUAACAUUGUCUCUCUCUCUCCUCCCUCACGAAACUCUCAGUUCUCUCUCCUUCUCCUUCGAACUCACACGGACCACCACAAAACCACCCUAAAGCUAUACCAACGACGAAUCUAAGACCACCAUUGGAACCCUGAAGACUUCACGAUCACGAUGGUAUCCAUUUCAGGUAAGUUUUGCUUCGGAAAACCCUAGUUUCAAAGUUCCCGUGAAGAGCACUGUUCAUGAUCUUUUAAAUGGUUACGUUUUAGGCUAAAACAAGCUUGUAGGAAGCUUAGUGAGGUCCCAAGGAAGCUCGGAGUGCUUCGUUGGAAGUUUUUGGACGUAAGAACACGGAGAUCGACAAGUUCAAAGUUUGGCCGGAGCUUUCGAGGCUUUUUCCGGCGAAUCCCCGGAGAGUUAGGAGUCGAGGUAGGUAUAAAUAUCUUCGUCUCGUCAAGUACUACAACUUUCCUUUUUGUUUCACUCAAUUUCGUUGAGUAUUGAAGAAUUUAUACUCAUUUAAAAAAUACCCAGUUUCCGGCGACCUCCGAGGCUUUCGAGGCAGUUUCCGGACAAACCACGGCGAACUAGGUGUUGUGCAAGGUACCAUUCUCUUUGUCUCUUCAAGGGCUACAACUUUAGUUUUUGAAUCACUUGAUUUAGUUGAGAAAUGACAAAGUUAUGGCAAUUUGAAAAACGGCCGCCGGAAAAACCAGUCCGGCGACCCAAGGAAGAAGAAGGUGCGCGUGGACCCGUGCCUUCCUUGGCGCGUGGGGGGCGCGUCCUACAGUAAAAAAUUAUUUUAAAAAUAUGUCGACGUCCGUGACGUCGAGUAAAUCACUGUGGUAUAUUCAUAUACCCAAAUUGAGCACCGUAUGAGAAAGUUAUUAAGGAUUGUUGGUUAGGUGUUCGAAUAACGUUUUAUAGUUUUCGCAUUAGGUGAAAAUGUGAAUUGAUGAUCCGACCGUUGGAUCAUCACCAAACUUUGAUACGUUGUAAUACGUAAUAUUUGAGGAUUAUUGGAACUUACGGAUUGGGAAUCCGAUUUACGGAUCUUCCGGAAUUGGAGUUGUAAGUUCAUAAAAUAGAAUGUAACCGUCACUUAGUUUUGGAAAUUGACGGAGAUCCGACCGUUGGAUGGUAAUGAAAUUUUAGGAUGUUGUCCUAGAGGUAUAAUGUGGACCUCUGGAAGUUAUGGAUUUAAAAUCUGAGUGGUGGAUCUUCCGGAUCAAUCUACGUAGUGACGUAUUUUAUAUAAGUUAUAUAUUCUAUCGAUAUGAAUUCUGAGGUUGGAAUUGAUUAUUGUUUUAGGCGCCGAUCGUCAUGGCGCCUUGGUGUAUUGUGCUAGGGAGUUGUAGGGCGAACUCCAGGUGAGUGGGCAAUUUUGUUUUCCGUAUACAUAUAUACUUGCCGUUUUCCCAGAAAUUGAAAAUGCAUGAAAUUAUGCUUUAAAUAGAAAUGUGUGAAAAGUAUAUAGAAUUAUAUGAAAAACGUGAAUUGAAACGCUAUGCAUGAAAGUAUAUGAAAAGUAUAUAGAAAUGUGAAUCGAAUUGCCAUGCAUGAAAUGAUAUGAAUUGAUAUAUGAUGCAUAUGUAUGAAUUGGUGCGGCGGACGCACAGGUGAGUAUCAGGUGAGUAUUUAAUUACUGUUAUGAUGAUGAUGAUAUAUAUUGAGCUCAAAUCCUGCACCAUGGUUUAGUGCUUAUAGUAUUCACCGCAUCGCACGCUCGCCUUGGAUCCAAGUAGAUGCUGGUCGCACAGUCCACGCGGAGUGGGUGCGACGGGCCAGUCGAAGAGUGUUAGUGAGAUUUCGACUGGUGGGUGACCUUAGAUUAUGUGCACAGAUGAUUGAUGAGAAAGCACUAGAGUGUAACUUGUGUGCAGAAGGCCGGACAGGUCACAGAGGUGACUCCGGCAGAAUGAGAGUGAUAGAUUUUGAGCUCUAGGUUCAACCGUACAGGCUAUUAGAGGGCCUCCGGUUGAUUACUUUCUUGCACCUGAUAUGAUUAUUGUUGAUGCAUCCAUACUUAACUGUUGAAUUAGACAUGGCAUGGCCUAUUUGUACUGAAAAAUGUUGAGAUAGUAAAAAUGAAGUUUUGAGAAUAUAUAUGUAUAUUUAUAUUUUACAUUUCUGGGAAAGUAUACAAGUUUUACGGAGAGGGGUUACAACGUUUUGAGAAAUGUUUGGAUUUGGAAAAGAAUUGUUUUACUGACCCACUCAAUUUUGGUUUUGCGCCCCUCCAGGUUCAGGAAUCACAAAGGUGUGGUGACUACGAGGAAUUCGACGGUGUUCUGACAGAUUGUACAAAAUUAGGACUCACCUUCGGGUGUAUCAACUUAUAAAUUGUAUCUUAAAGCUUCCGUACUGUGCAAAUGGUUAUGUCACUCUCACGUGACGGCCAGCAUGCCCUCCUUCGAGACGGGGUGUGUCAGCAGACAGACAAUUCAGCUCCCUAGUGUUUAUGUCAUUUUCCUUUGGUCAAUCCAAGUCAUCCAUAUGAUGCAUUAUGAAAUUUACAUGUGAUUAAAUAUUUUUAUGGAUAGGGUGUUAGUCGUUUAUCCAUGUGUUCUAGGUUUGAAAUUAUUAAAUUAUUGUAAUAAUUUCGAAUAUUUCCAUUCCUCUUAAUAAUAAUAAAUUUUUUAAAAAUGACAAAAUAUGAAAUAAUAUCAAUUAGAACAUAUAAACUAAGAAAACUUCUUAUAUUUCGAUCAAAACCAAGGUUCUAAAAAACGUUAGGCGCUAGUCGGACGGCGGGUUAGCGCCUAGCUUCUAGGCGGACGCCUAGGCGGAUUUAGGUAAAUUUUUUAUAUAUCUUGUAAAUAAGUGCAUAUUAACAUUUCCAAAAAAUUAUACUUGUAUGAAAUUCAUGGAUAAGAUAAUAAAAUAAUGAUAAAAUACAAAAAAAAAGUAUCUAACAAAUCCAAAAUUUAAAAACACAUUAAGCAUAUAUGCCAUAUAACUUAAAACAUUUUGAAUGAUUAUAUCUAUUUUUUUUAAAAUAAAAGUAAUAAUAUUGGGUUGGAUGGUUCAUAAUAAAGAGAAAAUUCUAAUGUCAAUAUGAUGAUUCAUAAUAAUAUUUAUUAGAGAUCAUAUUAAUUUAUGUUGAAUUUAAAGAGAAAUAAAGGUGUCAAAUAUGUGUAUGUGGAAAGGGCACACCCAUCAUUACCAUUAAUUUAUGUCAAAUAUGUGGAUGUGGACGCAUGGGAACUCUGCAGUCUGCACCAAUACUUAAUGGUGACAUCUUCAACCUGACACACCCAUCAUUUUUUAGGAGAAAAAACAAGGAACCGAACUGACAGCCUAUGGCUUUUUACACAAAGCAAGCAAUUUGAUGCUAGCUGUCCAAAUUUGAUUGGAGAGAAACUAAGAAAAAAAAUUAAAUAAGAAGAGUGUGUAGAGUGGUCACGUGGUGUGAAAGGAAGAGAGAGAACGUCUUCGUCUUCGUCUUUCCUCUUUUUAGCCAAACUGAGCGAGAACUAGAAGAAACCCAGAAAAAUGCAGCUGAUCUGCAUUCUUGAAAACAUAACAAAAUUGAAAUUCCUGGACCGUCUAGGCCACUCAGUCCCCCACCUAGGCCGCCCAGGCUGUCUUGGCGGCCGCCUAAUCCCUGUCCCGAUUUUGCGUUAAUCCCCUCGGCCGGCCAUCGCCCAGCGCCUAGGCGGCCGCCUAAGCCGAUUUUUAGAACACUGAUAAAAACUCACACCAAACACAUUACAUAGCGUCCAAUCAUUGUAUGAAAGAAAGUAUACAUACAAAAUAAGUAACUGAUUUGUUAGUUGAUCUUCAAACAAAAGAGAAAAAUAAAUGGGAGUUUUAACGAAAAGUCCACGGUACUGUUCGCUUUAACGAAAAACCACAUUUUUACACUAAAAAGUCAAUCUUGAUACUAUUCACUUUACCCUUUAUUUUGUCAUUAUUGUUAAAACUCAAAGUUUUCAAACCCUUUUCAUUAGUUUUCCUAAAAAUAAAAGUAUAUUUUAGGAACAUAGUGUAUCGUUAUCGUGUUUUGCAAAUGAAUACUGAAAACUAGACCUAGCAUUUUCAACCUGACCCGUCAACCCGACUUGAUCUGAUCCGUUAAAAUUAGUAUUCGGGUGAAUGAUAAACGGAUCGGGUGGUUAACGGGUCAACCCAUUAAUCACCCGUUUAAUAAUAAGCCAUUUUGAGUGAACUCGCGAAACCUGUUAACACCCGUUAUUGAUGACUUUUGUGUAAUUUCAAUAAUCCUGGUAGAAAACCCUCAGGUCCCUCACAACUCUCUCUCUCGCGCACGCCGUUGCUCUCUGAGAGAUCGCUAUGCUCCUUCCCUUUUGGCUCCAGUUAUCUCCCUCAUCUUCUUCCCUUAAAAUUUUUACUGAACUUCACCACUCUCUCUCUCUCUCUGGUAAGCUCUGAUUCCCUUCCACCUGCUAGCCAAUGGAACCACCUUGGCCAGAGGAGUUGACAAGGGCGUUGGGAUUGGAGACGUUCUUCAGACAUGACACGUAGGGUUCAACCGUAGCCACGGAUCAACGCACUUGAGGUGGAAGAGGUGUCUACAAUCUGGCAACAGCCGCAAGACAUAUGGAGCAGCAGGAGGCAGUGGAGUCUUUCUUUUGGAGCUUGGCCUCGGAGUAGAGCAUUUUCGGGUAGCUUUGAAUCGUGUUGUCAUCGAGAUUCCCUUCCACUGCCUCGGAGUAGGUAGUGGAGUCUUUCAGCAGAUUGGAUGAAGAAAAAAAAAAGGUUAACGGGUUGGGUUUGGUUGACCCGUUAAAUUAACAGGUCGGAUUUAACCCGACUCAAACUUAAUAAACCCGUCCCGUUUACAGAUCUACUGAAAACUACAUUUGAAAACUUGGGCCUCCAAGUUUCCCUUCUACAUCGGUUUGUUUCUAAUAUUAGUACUUAAAAGUCCAUGUGAAUUCUAUGAAUACGUGCUCGGCAUCAUCAAACAUGGACCGUCUGCAAGUUCUUCUUAAUCAAUGCUUGAAUCAUUUUUCAGAUUCGUUGCUUCUCUAACAUCGUUUGCAGCCUUUUCGGCAGUCUGAGAGGGAUUUUAGUUCUAAUAUUGAAGGAAACUCAACAAAUUAUUGGAGGAAAUGAAAGUGUCGUUUGCUUCCUUGUUCCUUGUGGGGCACUUUUCUGCCGGUUUUACUUGUGGAGCAAUCAAGGUAUAUAAAUCUGAAUCACCGUGACUACCUACCGCUAAAUAAACGAAGAGUUGGAUUUCUAAACGGAUUCAUCGUUCAGGAUUGCCGAUAAUAUAGUCUUGUAGCUUGUCCCACAUGCCGGAGAAAGAUGGAGAAAGCGAGGAAGAUUUUUAUAGUUCGCCUGCACACGAUUUCCCGGAGUCCAAUUCCACAUUCUCAAACGUUACUUGUAUAAAGGAAAAAAAAGGCUUUUUAGCCAAAAUGGUCUUUAAGAUUUGCAUAAUUCAUCACUUUGGUCCUGAGUUUGUCCAUCAUCAAUCAUUUUGAUCAUUCCUUAAAAAAAUUUGUUAAAUAAGGACCAAAUAACAAAAAUACCCUCAAUUUAAUAAACAAUUGGCCAAAAUGAUUUGAUAAAAAUCCAGAGUCUUUUUGUCAUUUUCUCCUUAUUUAAUGGAGGUUUUUCAAGGAAUAACCAAAAUGAUUGAUGGUGGACAAACUCAUGGACUAUUUCUAUUUAUUUCAAAUCUUAGAGACUAAAGUGAUGAGUUAUACAAAACUUAAGAACCAUUUUGGCUUAAAAACUGAGAAAAAAUAACCAUUAUGGUUGGGACUUAAAGUUGUGUCCAUCCAGUAGAAAAGGAUUAAGGAUUCUUUUUUAAUCCAAGCCAAUAGUCCCUAGUUACUUCCCAAUGUAGAACUCAUAGGUUGACAUGACAGGAUUGGGACUGGUGACCAGAGUUGGGGCGACGAGUUUACAAUUGAUGAAGUAAAAUCAGUAGAUCCAGCCCAAGGUUACUCUGCAUUUGCAGGAUUCUAAGCCCAAGGUAACCCUGCAUUUGCAAGAUACUAAUCUCGAGGGUUUUAAUGUAAAUGUACAAAAAAAAAUUAAACGAAAAUAACAUUGAAAAGCUAUAAGAACAUUCAUUUAUAAAUGAUGGUACAAACAACAGUUUAAUUACUUACAAGUAAUCAUUUGAAAUACCAAUAAGAAAUAUAUACGAAAAUACCUCGGAGGUCAUCUGGCUCAUAUUUAAAGGUUGAUGCUAUCUACACAUUCAUUUUUAUUUCUCACACACUCGUGUUAUUUUAUGUUCUUUGAUUUUCUUUAAUUCAUUUGAUUUGACUGCCGAAUAUUAAAAAUGAUGAGAGGUAAAAAGAGUGUUGAUUAGUUGUGGAAGGCUCCCGCGCCAUUGUCGUGCAGUUUAAUUACUUCGACUAUAACUUAUACUAUAUACAUCAUAUGGUGUCUACUCCUAUUUACAGCUGCCAUUUUUGAUGGAUCAUCACUGAGAUUCUAGGUAGGAGCUAUGACCUUGUACGUUAACUCGGCUGGUGAGGGAAGGUCUCAUUGUAACAAUUGCAGACUCGUUCGCUCCGGCUUUUAGAGCAGCUCUUCCGGCUUCCAGGAACCUCUUGACUGCAUCCUCUGCGUAACUGUUGGCUUCACGCACUGUCAUGGUUUCGCCGAUAUCAGGGUACGUUUUGAGGACAUGAUCGCCAUUGAGCUGGGAUGCAAGCUGGAUCAGCUCGACUUGGAAUUCUGAGAGGCUCGAAUCUUCUCUGGGUCCGCCUGGCCUCAGUGACUUCGUCACCUCUGGAAGAGUUUCUGUAACACAGAAAUGCAUGACGAUGAGCAUUCAGAAUGGAAAAUGCAAGGGCGUUAAUCAGAAUGGAAAAAUAUAAUCAGAAGGAUUUUUGCAAACCUGGACAGUCGUCACGAGGAGUACUGCGGAGGGUAAAAUAAUUCUCGAAAGUACCAGCCCAUGCAUCUCUCUUUGUCAGGAAGUUCGAUUUCAAAUUGAAUAGCUUCUUUACAGUGGCGGCGAUUGACGAAUGCUCAAAUUGGGAAUGUGGCGUCGGCCCUGUUGGCUCAUGGAUCACUGCACCAAAAAUACCAAAAGUCAAUAGAUAAGCAAAAGCCCCGAACUAAAAUCUCAUAGAAACAUAAACAAGUACAUUGCCGCAUCAAGCAAGCCAACUAGCUAUUGUCUAGCAGUACUUCCCUUUCUAUAAGGUUGAAAGAGUUCCCCGCCUUCGAAUCCUCUCUCCCCAUUGAUCGAAAAAUGGUAACGGAUCAUGGUAUCACAACAUAGAGAGGAAGGAAGGGAAAACAAUAUCCAACGACAUGGUUCUUCAUGCAAAAUUAUGUUGUCCAAACAUUCGGGAAAUAUAAGAUUAAAGAAAUGAUAUCGAUACAAAACUUAAGCUUGGUCAUCCUAACAACGUUGUGACACCGAAGAACACUGUCUUCAAAUCGAACCCUCCCCAUAACAGCUUAACAAUUUGCCCAUAAAGAGCUUGUAGUGCAUUCACGUUAAACUGUGAGAUAGACAAGAACCAAUUCACCGUUCUAACGGACACUCGACCUUAAUUAUUCAAUUGAUCUAAAAUAUCAUAAUCAACCAAUGUCGAAUAAAUUACAGUUAUUUAACUAUAACACUAUUCAUUAAUCAGCAAUUUAACUGUAAUGCUACUCAAUCAAAAUAAUAAAAAAAACAACUGAAAAAACCGAGAAGCAGAGAACUCACCGGUACCCUUUUCGACCCAUGGCGAGACGAGUAUGGUCGGCACCCGCACACCCAACCGGUCAAACCGGAAAUAAUACGGUUCGUUCCCCACGAUCCCAUCCGGGCUCGGCACGUCCAAAACCGGCGUCGGCACGUGGUCAUAAAACCCGCCGUGCUCGUCGUAGGUAAUCAGCAAUGCCAUUUCUUUCCACUGUGGGCUCGCCCUCAGCGUCUCGUACACCUCCUUCACGAACCUCUGCCCGCGCGCCACGUCAUGAGACGGGUGGUCGUCGUUGGCGGGAAGCUCCUUGACGUCGAAGUACCUCUGCUCGAUCACCGCGUAAUUCGGCAGCUUCCCCAGCUGAGCGUGCCGCUUGAAAGUCAGCGCGUAGCUGUUGAAUUUCGUCACAUGCUUCAGUUUCCUCAGGCUCUUGAAGAAGAGAGUGGCGGGGAUGUUCUGGUAAUAAAUGCCGAAGUCAAGGUCAUUUUCGUCCAGAGAGUCGAAGAUCGUUUUCUGAGGGAAGCCGUGGAUGAGGUCCUUGCGGACGUUGCUCAUGGCGCCGUGUGACGUGGCCGAGUGGAUGUAGAACCGGUUCGGCUGAGUUGACGCCGGUACGGAAGCAAACCACCGGUCGAACACGGCGAACUCGUUAGCCAAUUCGGUGUAGACCGGGAGGACUUCCGGCUUAAACCCGCUCAUCACCGUUCUCGCCAUCCCCUCGCCCAUACUCUCCGCCUGCUGAGCGAACCCGUUCAUCGGAGCCGGGUUCUCAGAGCUCUCGUUCGACCCGAAUAUCUGUUCUCGAAUCGCCUGAAACGAGUGGCCUGGGUCGGAGUCGACGAAGAAGGCGUCGCUGGAGACUCGGACUCGGGGCGAGCCGGGUUCCGAGACGAAAAUUGGGUUCGAUUCGUUCCCGUUCAGGCCGUCGAUGUCAGGUCGGGUCGACUUAAGCCAGCCGAAGAUGUGGUCAAAGGAGCGGUUUUCCAUGACCACGACGACCACCGUUUUAAUGGGUCCUUUGAUUUUGGGCGUUUUGCGUGCCGCAAUGAAUUGGGUGGAGACCAACAAGAGGUGGAAGAAAAAGAGAGUCCAGAUGAUGCGUUUUCGCCGGAAAGCCAUCGCCGGAGGCUGGAACUUGGAGAACCCGGUAAAACCCAGAGAGAUAAAGCGAAAGGCUGUGGCUUUGAAGUGUAAAUUGUAUGUAUUUGUAGCGAAAAAUGGUGGGAAAAGGUAUAUGCUCUGAAGGAUAAACCACCUUUCGAGUCGUUUUCUUCUGAAUCCAACACCUCAGAAAAAGAUAAGAUAGCGAUCAUCGAGAAAGACUUUGUCUGAGACUAGUCUGGGGAAGACACUACUCUGGGGGAGUUGUGAAAUGGGACAUUUUUUUUCUGAGAUGAAGUUGGAAACACGUAAGGCCAAAAAGCAUAAAGGAAGAACUGAGUUAGGGCCAAGUGGCUUUUCGAGAAGCAGAAUUUUAAACUUCCGAAGACAUCUUUUAUCAAUUUUUGACCGUCCAUCCAAUAAAUCGAAACAAAUUAAAUAAUAAAAAUUAAUAAGAAUAAAGAUAAAAUUAAGUGUGCAGAUAAUACUGACCUACCUUAAUACAAAGAAAAUAAAUAUAAUAUUUCUCUAUAUUUCUUCGCUUAUUUUAUGUCUCUCGUUUGGAUGUCGAACUCUUUAAAAUAUCUGUUGGUAGUAAGAUGAGCUAAGGUUUGUUCUUUAUUGAUUAAAUAUUGUGGUUGUAUUGAAAUACUCGCCAUCACAAACUAUGUAAAUUAAUUAAGUAUAAGGCCACUUGUAACAUAAACAUUAUAUACCCGUGACGUGCCAUUCAUUCUUAUUGGAACAAAUGUAGAAGAAAUUAAGGACGGCUGCACCGUUGAUGCAUGUGAGUUGGUCCAACAUUUUGUUUUGCAUACGAAUGCGAUACCUUUCACACAGUAAGGGACAAAAUUAGAGAUUUGUCUGAAUAAAGGCAUCCUCAAAUAACAAAGUCAUAAUUAAAAAGUUCAAGAAUUUAUUGAACAAAGCACUAUAUAUUAAUCUAUAAAGUUUUUCAUACAACAUAUUACAAUAUUUCUCGACAUGUUUUCAUGUUUUAAAAGCGUUGUAUGACAACAUUAUUACAAUAUCUCUCCCUGUAAAAAUAACCAAGUUAUUAUUAAUUCAUUGAUCUCUAAAUUAGAAAGUUAAAUUCUAAAUUGUAAUGCUAAAAACGAAUUAAUGAAGUAAAAUCAAAACACCUUGUGAAGUAAAGUUUUUGUGUUGAAUUUUGAUAUUAAUUGAACUCCAACUGUCUAUAUAUUCCAAAUUCAAUUGAGUUUUGGUAGAAUGAAGGAGGAGGAAAAACUUGGAGAAGAUGAGGACAAGAAUUGUUUUGUCGUGGUGAGAUGAGUUUUGUGAGGAUUAGUAACCCAGGGUUAGGAAAACGAGGAGGGGCAAUUUUAUUAUUAUUUUUUUUUUGUAGCAAAUGAUAUUAUCUACACUUAGGAGGAGGUGGACAUAGCCUCACAGCAGAGAUGCGCAAUUAUAUUAACUUUUAAUUGAAUUGUCAAGGUCAUUGGGGAUGAAAAAUGGUAAAUUUAGGUUAGUUGUCUACAUUUUAUUUUUAAUUGUAGUUUAAUUAGAUUGGAAUGCCAACUAUACAUUUUUAUUUUUAUUUUGUAAAUCUAGGCUUACACUAGCUCCGUCCUUAGGUGGGCACAAUUUGAAUUUUACAUGCAAGAAUCUCGCUAAUUGUGUGAGAUGUGUCGCAUACAGACAGUAUAAACCAAAUAAAAAGUUAGAGAAAAAAAAUUAAAUUAAGUAUUAACUAAUCAAUUACACACAUCUAACGACUGUCCUUAGCAUUGACCGUAAAAUGAAUCCAAAAUGUUUCACACGCUGAAGGUGGUUGAUAUAGUUGGCACAUAUUGUCAAAACUUCAAAUCUACCAAAAUAAUGAAAAGGACCCAAAGGCCAAAGGUCUAUAAAUACUUGAGUACCACAUUCAUAAUAUCAUAUAUUUGGAAUAUAAAAAAUUCGCAUUUUUGCUCUCUACCCUCGAGCUGUAGUACUGCUCAACCGUACUUAUUAUCAUUUGAUGAAUUCAAUUUUGAGAUUUUCGUCUAUCGAACACACAUAUCUCAAAAUUUAAACUAAUCCGGCAGAACAUGAAAAUCCUAUUGAAAUUUCGGAAGUGUUCCUCCCCUUGAUUUCGGACCUCUAUUGAUUUGGUUAAUUAUUUCAAUCUGUUUGUGUUCGGACACUGACGUGUUCGGUUUCCAGGUAUAGCAUUUUGCAUUAAACAUAGAAUCCCAAUAGAACAAAUCAGGUUAUCUUAGAUGAGUGCGAAAGGGGUACCAGCCUUUCGUAUGGAUAUAUGUCAACAGGUUUAGGCCACCCUCACUAGGUUUACUUCCAUUAGCCUUUUGCCACCCACAUUAUCCGGUAAUUUUACUGGAGAACCUGCAGGUACAACUGACUCGCCAGCCAAAAGAAAUUAACGACUAAACAAUAAGGCCGUAGGAGUUGAAAACCAAGAAAAGAAAGCCUCAAGAGAUAUCGUGGUUUCGUACAACUUAACUGAAAAUUGUGAUCUUUCGUUACCUGCAGGACUACAAUAAGGAGAAGAUUUUGGAAAAAGUUUCAUGUUGGUUGAAGCUGAUGGGCUGGAAAAUAUGCGAUCGUUUGGAGACAAUCACAAGGGGCGUCGCUGGUUGUUUCCGGACAGAAGGUGGUGGUGGUGGAUCCUGGAGAACGGGAGCAUAACCACCAAACAAGAUCCAUAAUUCACCCACUUCCGGAUCACCAACGAACUUUCCAUCCUCUGCUGCACUUUAGCAAUCAACAAUUGUCUGGCUUUCUUAAAGAAAAACGAGGCCAGCCUACAGUUGCCACCGCGCAUUGUUUCCCGAUGCUUGUUCUCUUUGAUGUGUUGAACAAGAACAACCUCCAAAGCCUUAGCUCCUUCUUGUAUGCUAGAGUUGCACCCAUUAAUGAGGAAAACUUUUGAUGCAGUAUCAAGUAUGAAUGCGUCGUUGUGGUUUAGUGAUGACGGAGAAAAAGGAACCUAGUUGACGAUAUAAAUUCUGAUGAGAGGUCUCGAAGAAACAACGGCAGUAGAUGCAAAAGAGAAAAAAGAACCCUACUUCUUUAACGUGAACAACAUAGUCCCCUUUGCAAGCUAACAAGCUGACUUUAUAUGUUUCACCAUUUAAGUGCUCUUGUUGUGAUGUAUUUAUAUGCUUCUUCAAUGGGGAUGAUGCAGGGUUUGAAGUACGAUAAAAACUUGUGUGUUUCAUGGCCUUGAAUCUCCCUAUAUUUUCAGGGCGUAUUCAAUUGGAAUUUUGAGGGAUUUUCACUUAUAACGAAUUUAAGGGUAUUCAAUCAGGAUUUUAAGCGAUUGUUUGAAAUUUAGUGUAUUCAAUCAGGAUUUUGAGAUAUUUUAUUAAAAUCUUUAGAAUUUCAAGUAUUCAAUUUGAGGGAAUUAGAAAGAUUUCGUGGUGUAUUUAAGCAUCUACAAAUCUUACCUCUUUCUAUGAGAUUUCGAGAGAAUUCAAUCAAAAUUUUACAUGAAAUCUCUACAAAUCAACUAAACUCCAUAAAAUCCAUGAAUUUAUAAAUUUUAUUAAAAUUUCUCAAAUUUACAAUGGAAUGACUCCCUUCAAGUUGAUUGAAAAAUCGGCUAACUGUAAAAGGCCUUGUUGGGCUAGUUCAAGCUCAAUAUGAAUCAGCACUCAUAAUGGGCCGAGAGUCCAAGCCCAAUAAGACCUCGUUCAGAUUUCCCCCCGUCAUCAGCAAUCCAAAACUACGUUGAAGUAGAACAGUGUUCCGCAAAAAUUAGGGUUUAAGGUCGGGACCCUGAGAGAAAGAAGCAGAAAAUCUUGGCGGAAUCAGAACGAUGAAUCCGCUAACCCUAGUGAAACGCAUUCAGAACAUCAAUUCCAGAGAAGCCCAAUUAGGGAUUUCGGAGGAGGCUUCGUGGCACGCCAAGUACAAAGACUCCGCCUACGUCUACGUCGGCGGCGUUCCCUUCGAUCUCACCGAAGGCGAUCUCCUCGCCGUUUUCGCACAGUAAUCACUAAAUCCCCUUCAGUUAGUUCCAAAUUUUCUAAAUUUGUUUUCAAUUUUUUGACGUUCGAUUCGGUUUCAGAUACGGUGAGAUCGUGGAUGUGAAUCUUGUUCGCGAUAAGGCGACUGGGAAAUCCAAGGCGUUUGCGUUUGUGGCGUACGAGGACCAGAGGAGCACUAUUCUUUCUGUGGAUAAUUUGAACGGAGCUCAAAUUUUAGGGCGGACAAUUAGGGUUGAUCAUGUGACUAAGUACAAGAAGAAGGAGGAGGAAGAUGAAGAGGAGGCGCAGCGGAAGAGGGAGGAGCGGGGUGUUUGCCGGGCUUUCCAGAAAGGCGAAUGCACUCGUGGAGAUUCGUGCAAGUUUUCGCACAAUGAGCAAGUAAGUUAUACAUUAUCUGAUUGAUUCAGUUUUCCGCUGACUGCACAUUGAUUCUUACACUGUUCUGAUUGAUUCAGUUUUCCGCCAACUGCACAUUGAUUCUUACACUGUUACUUGGCUUUUGGGUGAAUAAGUGGUAAUGUAGUUUGAUUGUUGUGUAUUCCAAUGAAAAGGAGGUUGGUUUCUGUGUACUACUUAAGUUUGAGAUGUUUUGAAGAUGCUUGAAGAUGAGUCGAUGAUCUGAGUUUGUGCACCGAAUCUUUUAUGUUAGUUGUAAAGGUUUAUGUUUUAUAUAAAAUCAAUGAAUAUCUCUAUAUAUAGGUGCUUAUGUGUGCUUUUUUCUGUUUGUAUCCAGAGAGCUGCAAACACAGGUUGGGGUGAAAAAGACCCAAAAUGGGGGCGUGACAGUUAUGAGGGCCCAAAAAGGGGUGAUAAAAGAUCUAGCUUCAUUCCGCCAAAUCGUGUUCCAGGGCCAAAAGUUCAGGAAGAGUUCAGAUCAGGGGGUAGGGACUUCGAAAGUCACACCAAGCGAAGUGAUGGGAGGGAGCAAAAGAGACUGGGUAUACAGGGGGGUGAUGAUGAAAAGUUUAAGCCUAGAUCAAGAGAUCAUGAUAGGGAGGAAGAAAAUAGAUCAAGAAGACGGAGUGAGGAUGAUGAAUCGGGGCCCAAUUCAAGAGAACGUUAUGGUAGGAGAGAAGAACAGAGAUCGAGAAGGCACAAUGAUGAUGAGUUUCAGCCGAAGUCAAGAGAAGAUUAUGAUAGAAAGAAUGAUAAAAGAGCCCAAAGGUGUGGUGAUGAUGAGGAACUUGAGCCAAAGCUAAAUUCUAGAGAAGAUCAUGAUAGGAGGGGAGAUGAUAGAAGGGAAAAUAAGAAACUGAGAAGGCAUAGCGAUGAUGGUGAAUUUGAGCCCAAAUCUCGUGGUAGGAGGGAAGAUGAUAGUAGGGAAGAUAAGGAACUGAGAAGGCAUGCUGGUGAUGCUGAUUUUGAUCCAAAAUCUAGAGACAAUCAUGAUAGGAUGGAUGAAAAGAGAUUGAGAAGGCACAGUGGUUAUGAAAAUCGUCCAAAGUCCAGAGAAGAUUAUGAUAGGAGGGAAGAACAGAGGCAAUGCCGAUGAAUUUGAUCUGAAGUCGAGAGCAGGCCGUCUUAGGAGUGAAAAGGGAGACUGAGAAGAUGGGUGUGAUGAUAAUCUAGGCCAAGAUCAAAAGUUAGAUCAUUGAAAAGAAGGGAAGAGAAGAAUACAAGUACCACAAAGGAAGGACCAGAAUCCUAUAUGGAAAAAUAUAUGAACGAAUGGGUAACACCCAUCACAAAAAGAGAAAUAAUGAUUUAAAUCAAAUAUGGUGCUCUUUCCAUCUUUGGCAUCCCUUGUGUGCAAUAAGAUCACUCCUGUUAAGCAAUGUGAGACUUGUUUCUUUUUUCUUGUGUAAGCUAACAUCCUAACUAUGUUUCCAUUGAUUUGUUUUGUUUGUUUUUUCUAUUAGGUUUUUGUUGGUGUUUCUCUUGGAUGAGAUUUAAUUGAUAUAUGCAUUUGACUAGCAAUGUUGCAACUCUGCAUAAAAUCAUUUCUUGAUAUGCAGUUUCUCAUGCUUGCUGAAGUCCAUUUGAAUAGGAUAGUUGUAUGUGUAUUGCCGAGAGUGUAUCCCAGCACCUGAAUUAGUUUGCAUGAUUUGUUGAUGCCAUUUGAUGAUUGGAUUCAGUUGGUGCAAACUUUUCACAGAAACAGUUUGUAGUUUAACUUUGGGCUGAAAUUUGCAGGUAAAACCACUAUGAAGAAUUGGCCAGGAUCAGUGGAACAUACGGGUUGGUAUGUUUCAAUUCAUUAAAAGUGCUUGCCGGUUGUUGUGCUAUUAAUUUAUAUAUAGUUAAAAAUCACAAAACAGAAAGGCCUGCUCAAGGUGAGCAAAUACAUAGUUAAAAAAAGUGGCAGUCAACCAAGUACUGAAGCUAUAUUUACAAUUACAUACCGGUUUGUUCUUCAGUCCCAGUUAGGACAGAAACAAAAUGGUAAGGGUUCUUGCUAACAAAAAGAAGUAAGGAAAGUAGUGACUUGAUUCAUCAAGAAUUCUGCUUCUUUGUUGAAUCAGUUCCAAUUGAGCCAUAAGUGGUCAUCGGUGUUCCUAGUUAAUUUCGCGGGGCUUCUCCAGAAGACAUUGAUGAUCCAAGUUCUCUUGGAAGUGCUUCUUCAGUAGACAGCGGUUUUCUAAGUUCAUUUAGGAGUGCUUCUUCAGAAGACGGCAUUUUUCUAAGUUCAUGUGGGAGUGCUUCUUCAGUAGACAUUGGUUGAUCAGGUAGUGCUGCUUGAGAAGACAAUGACUUUACAAAUUCUUUUUGCAGUGCAUCUUCAGAAGGCAUCAAAUAUCCUAGUUCUUUGGGUUGUUCUUCAGAAGACAUUGAUUUUCUAAGUUCUUUGGGCAGUGCUGCUUCAGAAGACAUUGGUAUUCCAAGUUCGUUAGAAUUCAUCGAUUUUCCAAGAUCAUUGGAUGUUGCUUCUGCAGGAGAUAUGGAUUUUCCUAGCUCUAUGGGUGGUGAUUCUUUAGAAGGUAGUGGUGUUCCAAGUCCUUCGGGCAGUAUUACUUCCUCAGAUGACACCGCUUGCGUUGCAGUUAAACUAGGCACUAGAACAGGACUCAUUUCAUAAGUAGGCAAGGCUUCAUCUUCUUCAUCUUUCGGACUUUCAGAAAUCUUUCUCGUUAAGGUUGUCGGGGUUGACUUUUUUAUAGAUUCCUCUUUCACGGCGCUACUACCAUAGUCUAAAACGCGUACUUCCUUCCUUAUACCGAGCAAAGUUCCAUCUGCUGAUUUGAUAGUCUUCUCUUCAAUUGCGACUUCAUUGUUGCUGUUAAAUUGUGGUUUUUCAUCCGCCGAGGCAGGUUUAUCUGUAAAAUUUGCACCCUUGUUCGCAUUCAACAGAAGUUCUUGAUCUUCAGGAUGGGUAACAUUCCCGGGAACGAUCGGUCCCACGUCGAGGUUUACAAGUAGUGCCUCGCUUUCGUUUGUAAUUUGCACUUCGCUUAUCUUCUGAAGUUCAUAGUCUAUCCAGUCUUCAUCAAUGGAUAUUGUGUUCUUGGUACUCCAGGUGUGCAGAAUCCGAUCUGGACCGGGUUGCCACAACACAUCUCCUGUGGCCUUUUUCAGUAUAAACUUGUAUUGGAUUGCUAUGCCAGUAGGAACAUCCUAUUCAAAUUUAAAAACCAAUCAAAUUUCUGAAAUGACUACAAAUUUAUACGAUUCGCCUGUAAAUAUACAUAAGUAACAAUAAUUUGCUCUAGUGACACCGAGUUUCAACUCUGUUGGACAAGAUCCCGAGUUCUUACACCCCCACCAUUGGCACCACCACCGUGCCCCCAACCUGUCGCUGCCAUCACCACUGUCGCCACCAUAACCACCACCAUCAUUAUUGCCCUCCCCAAAGCUGUCAUCGCCACCACUUCUACUACCAUGUCCAUUUUUCUUGUUAUAUACAAUUAUGUCACUUUUACAUAAAUUUACCAAAAACUUUUAUACUGCUUUUUAUACUCAAAGACACUUUUAAAUACAGUUUAUCAAAUACUUUUACAAUUGAUUAUUCUUAAAACAUAGUAAAAGUAGUAUUUUUUUUAUAAAAGCGCAGCAAUCUCUAACUGACUCUAAAUCCAUAAGAAUUCUUACCAGCUCAGUAUUCCAUAUGUUUCCAUCUGAACAGUUCAUUGGUAUAGCAUUUGAAGGGUUCCACUGUCCUAUGAUAGGUUCAUUACCCACCAAGAGGAAGCUCUCACCAAACUUGCACUCCUCGUGUAAUUGGAAUUGGACACGGACAGUUUCUGAUCGCUCUGAGAAGCGGACACUAAUCAUCACUCGAUAUCGGAAUUAGGAAUUCGUUUGAUAUCGGAAGAGAAAUAUUACUAGAUGAAGAGUUAGUUGGUACAAACUCGGAGCUCAUUGUUUAAUAUGAUUAACAGGGUUGAAUAUAGUAAAAUUACCUGUUGGUUGGAUCCAAAUUCCUGCUGUUUCUGAGGUCGUAAAAACCUGACAUGAUUUAUAGACGAAGUUGAAUUAGAAUAUCAACUGUGGGAAGGAAAAUUACUAAAUCGUCGACUUUGUAAACGAACUUUUAAUCAGAAAUAAAACCCAAUAGACAUUACGAAGUCAAUAAAGGUCACUAAACUGUUGGAUUGGUAUGGACUACAGUAAUACCUCUGUCUGAGAUGAAGCAACCAAUUGAAGCGCUUUCUGUCGAAGCAGAGAGGUGGUAUGCUGAACGCGAACAUUGGAAUUUCGAGACCCAAAAAAGCCAAUCUCGGAUCGACCCGGAAGAGAUUUUGAGGGAGAGAGAGGUUUGUUAGUGUUAGCCUUGGCAAACAAGGUUAUGGAGGAUCCUGCAAGAGUUUCCAUUGUCUCUUUUUCUUUUCCAAAAAGAGAGACAGAGUCCUAAACUGUGUAAGAAAUAAGCACUUGUAUAUAUAUAUAAGAGGCAUGAGCAAGAAAACUGAGAAGGGUACGGAUCUGGCAUCAGGUUUUGAUGUCCUCAACUGAUUGAGAAAUUUGGGGCCUUUCCUUUGGCGGAUUUUCAGUUUUGCUUUUAUAUUUUUGUUUGAAGUCUUCAAUAAUUUAAAAAAUAUAUAUAUUUCCUGCAAGUUUUGAAGUUGAAAAGCGCUUUUUAGGAAGCCCAUUUUCAACAUAUUUGUUCCAAAGAGACAAAUUAUAUGUACAGGAUUCCCGUACUUACUCAUAUCAACAUUGACGAAAAUGUAUUGAUGUGUUUGUACGUUUUGUUGGUGACAAUGUUAUCGACUCAUCACUAUUGACAUAUCGGCAAUCUGUUUCAUAGCCUUACUAAUCAUUGCAACACGUUGAUAGGUUUGUACACAUGAGACGGCCAACAAAAUGAAAAACUUGUACAUGAUUUUGUAGGGGUUUGAGGUUUAGGUUCCAGCAAAGAGCUUGCAUCUUCAACAAUACUCGUUACAUGAGCAAUGCCCGUCUCUGAAAUGUUGAAACCGAUAUCAAUCUCUCAGCAAGAUCUUGUUGAGAAAAAUUUAGAAUAAACAACUCUAAAUUUUAUAUGUCAAAUAAGAAAUUCACUCGAAAAUUUGAGACACAACAAAAGACUUUAUUAAAC
rnacentral:lncRNA from 1 species